AUUGAACGCUGGCGGCAGGCCUAACACAUGCAAGUCGAACGAGUGGCGGACGGGUGAGUAAUGUCUGGGAAACUUCCCGACGGAGGGGGAUACCUACUGGAAACGGUAGCUAAUACCGCAUACCAUCGGAUGUGCCCAGAUGGGAUUAGCUAGUAGGUGGGGUAAUGGCUCACCUCUGCGACGAUCCCUAUCUGGUCUGAGAGGAUUACCAACAACACGGGAACUGAGACACGGUCCAGACUCCAACGGGAGGCAGCAGUGGGGAAUAUUGCACAAUGGGCGAAAGCCUGAUGCAGCCAUGCCGCGUGUAUGAAGAAGGCCUUCGGGUUGUAAAGUACUUUCAGCGAGGAGGCGUUACUCGCAGAAGAAGCACCGGCUAACUCCGUGCCAGCAGCCGCGGUAAUUC
rnacentral:rRNA from 1 species